ACACACUGGUAUAGAUCCACAAUUAUUUCCCCCCUUUUAAUUUUCCCCCUUUUAACAAAAACCCUAAGUCCAGACUUCCUCUGGCAGCAUUCCUCAAGAGUCUCAGUCUCUGCUCGCGUACGCUGCUCGCAACUCACGCAUCGCAGUCGCAACAUGUCUCUCAGUCGCAGCAGGUCGCCCUCGAAGCAGUCGCACAUCGGCGUCGCAGUAGUGCCGCACGUAGCAGCAGCGAAAUCUCGGAGGGCAAGAAGACUCACGAGGGUGUAUACAUCAAGUACUUGAGAGGGGGAAGACAGAGGAUCCACUUAGGAAUUAGCUCAAAGUUGCAAUGGCCCAUGAGGUUCAUGAAAUUAAUAUAGAUGACAUAAGCACCAACUGAAGCUAUUGAAACAGUCCCAGUGAAUACAGUUGUGAACACAGGUUACAUUCGGAUGAGGGUAUGACAAAUACCAUUUUAAAGUGCAUUGGAACACACUAUAAUGGUGUGUAUCCGAGUUGGAGUUUGAUUCCACUAAAGGCCUAGGGGCAAAUGUUCAAUGAAUUUAAGAAAUAUUAUGUAUGGGCUCCUGAGCAUGAGGAACAAGUUCAAUUGACUUCAAGAUUAAAGCCAUAAGAUAUCUUUGCUCACUGCUGAGCUUGUUGCAGUAGGGGAAAGAGAGAAGAAGAGAGAUGAGCAGAUGGCAGCAACAAGGACGUAAUGGAAGCAACAAAUGAGCUAGAGAACAAGAGGUAUACGGUGCUUCAAACUCAACCAACUUCUCUUUUGGAAUCAGGAAUUAUUAUUCAUCCAUGUCUCGGUGAUACACGUCGAGGUCAAGUGGAUGCGAUCGAAGAGGAGAGUGAGGGUGAUGAGGAGUAGUUAUAUCUAUUGUCUAGACAUUUUAGAUUUUGUACUAAUAGUUUGUAUACUUUUUAAUUUUUUUGAUUAGUUUAAUUGAAUGAAUUGAAGUAUUAUUUGAAUUAGUGUAACGUAAAUAUACAAAAAUAUCGUGUUGGCAGCUCUUUGAGCUGCUGAUUUGAUUGAAAAUAUAAAGGUGGGCAAGAA